rfam:Wallemia sebi CBS 633.66 unplaced genomic scaffold WALSEscaffold_32, whole genome shotgun sequence.
UCUCCGAUGGCGCAAUUGGCUAGCGCGUUCGACUGUUAAUCGAGAGGUUGGUGGUUCGAGCCCACCUCGGAGAG